rnacentral:rRNA from 1 species
GAUGAACGUUGGCGGCGUGCCUAAUACAUGCAAGUCGAGCGAACAGACGAGGAGCUUGCUCCUCUGACGUUAGCGGCGGACGGGUGAGUAACACGUGGAUAACCUACCUAUAAGACUGGGAUAACUUCGGGAAACCGGAGCUAAUACCGGAUAAUAUAUUGAACCGCAUGGUUCAAUAGUGAAAGACGGUUUUGCUGUCACUUAUAGAUGGAUCCGCGCCGCAUCAGCUAGUUGGUAAGGUAACGGCUUACCAAGGCAACGAUGCGUAGCCGACCUGAGAGGGUGUUCGGCCACACUGGAACUGAGACACGGUCCAGACUCCUACGGGAGGCAGCAGUAGGGAAUCUUCCGCAAUGGGCGAAAGCUUGACGGAGCAACGCCGCGUGAGUGAUGAAGGUCUUCGGAUCGUAAAACUCUGUUAUUAGGGAAGAACAAAUGUGUAAGUAACUAUGCACGUCUUGACGGUACCUAAUCAGAAAGCCACGGCUCACUACGUG